rnacentral:ncRNA from 2 species
UAGGGUGGGUCGAUCGUUGGUUCGACCGGCUCGCCAGGUCGGUCGUCGCAAGAGGGAACCCGGUGCGAGUCCGGGACUGCCCCGCAGCGGUGAGUGNCCGCCGUCACACGCACUGGGUGCCGACCACCCGGGAAGCGACGGCCAGUAGGAGUGCGGCGCUGCACCACGCGGCCGAGCACGCGCCCACGAGUCCGAAGACCUGCCAACGUGUUUCGCCGACA